UGUCACAAAUAAUUAAAAUAAAUUUGUAUUCAGAACAUCAUCAGUGUAUGCAAUAAAUAAUAGCUGAGAGGAAAGGCUGACCCCUGCUUGUUAAAUUGCUUGGAAGUUCAUUUGGAUGUGUUCAGGUGAAAAAAGAGGUUUGCUCGUGUGAGAUUUUUUUUCCCCUCAGCUGCAGUUUUCUUUGUAAUUCCACAAGAAAUGGAAUAAUUUGGGCUUGUCAGACCCACCUGUGAAAAGCAGAUGCCCUUGUGCACAAGUGAUCUUCACUCAGCUGGUGAGCAAUGAAUACAGACAAUGGACAGUGCAGUUGCUCCAAUAUUAAACUGCUCUUAUGAGCCUUUCGAGCUGGAUUUCUUUCCAGCCCAUAGGAAAUGACUGGUAAUCCUUUUUUCUUUUUUUUUUUCCCAGAGAAGGAAUGUGGUGCAGUAGAAAUACAAUGUGUAACAUAAAGAUUAAUACAUAUCUUUAAGUUAGAUAAUUGCAAAGGUAUUGACUUUCUCCAACUAAAAUGAGGGUAGUGAAACAAGGGAAGUUAAUUGUGGGAGAGCCUAGUUGCCUCUUACUGUCAUUGUUAUCUGUUCCUUAGAAUAUUGCCAAACUUAAAAUAUUUGGGGUGAACUUUCAGUGCUGAAUGUAUUUUUCGGGUUUGCUGCCAUAGGCAAGUUCAGUCAUAACAGUUCACUUUUCCUGAGCAGAGGGCAGCCUUUCCUUUGGCAUCUUUUAAAUUUUGAGAACUUUGUGCUUUAACUGUAAUCUUUUUCUUCUCUAAAGAAAAUCUUCAUUUGUGCAGUCAGCUGGCUGAUUCAAUCUGCAGCUGAAAAAUGAUCACGAGAUGAGUGUGUGUUCAGUCCUGUUUCUGAUGGGUUUUAAAAAGCACCGACAGCUUUAGUUAAACACAGCAAUGGUUUUCAGUAUGUGGCUCUUUGUCUCUGUACAGGAUUCCUGUGCAGGAGGUCCUGUGAGAAAAAGCUCUAUCAACCAUUGGAAAGAAAAGAAAUUUUAUUUUAAGAUUUUAAGGAACAAAAAGAUCUCGCAAGAAAUAGCAUAAGAGGAUGCUUAAACUCUCUGGGUAACCAGGAGAAAGGUAGAACAGGCGUAAUGUUAAGUUAGAGUAUUUUGGGCAAGUCAUCAUCUUUCUUGAAGAUUUUGGUAUAAGUCAUGUUCUUAAUUUUUCUUAAAUAUCAUAUUUUUUUUAAUUACCAAACAGGUUAACAACUACUUUCGUAGUCUUAUUGUAUUAUUUUUCAAUUAUUUUCCAAUUUCAACUAUUUCCAAUAACUUGCUUCUAUUAGUAAUCAGUUAAAGCAAAUUUUUAAAUAAACAGUGAUUAGCAUAUGUGAAUUCUUAUCCCUGGAAGCUCCUCACCCAAUGAAAGCAAACCAUGAGAUAGAUAUACAUCAAAUAAGUUGAUAUUCCUGUAUUUAAAGCACCCAGAAGCAUCAUUUCUCUGUAGGUAAGGAAAUGAGAUGGGUAGGUUUCCCCACCUACUUUACAAACCUGCUCUGGAUGGAAGGGGGAUUUCUGGAAAUGCCUGUAUCCUCAUCAGGUAUGGUGAGUGCCCACUCCUGGGCAUUCCAUGGCCAGCAGGUUGAAGUCCCAGGAGAUAACCCCCACACCCACGUUGCUUGGAACUGGAACCAGUGCCUGUUAAAUUGGCUGGGAAAAUGUGCUGCUUUUAACAGGACAAUUUCAGGACACCUCUGGUCUCUGAUUUUUCGUUUGCAUUGAACAACAGGAUCACAGCACCAUGAAAUGGGUUGGGUUAGGGGCCUUAAAGCCCAUCCAGUUCCACGCUGUGCCAUGAGCAGAGACACCUUCCACUAUCCCAGGUUGCUCCAAGCCCUGUCCAGCCUGGCCUUGGGCACUUCCAGGGAUGGGGCAGCCACAGCUUCUCUGGGCACCCUGUGCCAGGGCCUCACCACCCUCCCAGGGAAGAAUUUCCCAGUAUUCCAUCUAACCGUGCCCUCUGUCAGUGUGAAGCCAUUCCCCCUUUUCCUGUCACGUCUCUGUUUUCAGGUGGCCUGAGAUGGGGGACAUUGGCCUUUAAGAAACCCAUUUCAGAUGCUGAGUAAAACCCCACCAGUUCUGAGAUCAUUGUUUCCCUUGUCUCACAUUUUCAAAGACUUCAGGCACUUCCAGCCCAGUGUGUCUGUCAGGGCAUUGUAGCAAUUCUUGAGACAGGUAGCAGAAUGGGAAAAGGUGGAAUGCUAAAGGAAGAUAUUGGAGCCCUUUUGCAGGUAUAUCUGGUAUUCUUUGAUUAAACCUAGGCUUGUGAUACUCCAGAUAUAAUUCUUAUAUUUAGUUGAAAGUUUUUAAUUUUGUUUGUUUGUUUGUUUGUUUGUUUUAUGAGAGGGAACUGCUUCUGCUGCUCUCUGCAAACUCCAGAGUGCACACUGUUGUUGAAAAAUAUGGUUUAGUAGCCUGACAUGAUCAAUCAAUACCAUGUGACCACUCAGCUGUGUUUGGAAGAGCUUCACAAAUCACAGGCAAGUUUAGGACUCCUGAGCUGAUUGAUGUAAUCAGGACAUGCAUCUAUAAAACUGGUUUCAUACAGCCUGGAUUCAAGCAAUUACCUGGCCUCUCUGCUGGUUUGUUUGGGGUUGUUUUUUUUUUGGUUUUUUUUUUUUUUUUUUAUUUCAGUAUUAUUGGACAAGGAAAUAGUAUGUCCACAAAAUUCAGAUUUAGUAAACUGGCUACAAUAAACAAUCAUUAAAAAAAGGCAUGAAAGACUAAAGAAUUUUAAGUGUAUGUAGAUUUAAUUGUAAUGACUGUGCCAUGUAUUAUUCUCAGACUCUGGAAUGAAGCACAGGGACUGACAUAACUUGCUCUGAGCAUUCCCUGGAUUAAAUAUUCUUGCUGUUUGUAUUCUGUCAUGAAAUGGUUGGCAUCCCAACAGUUGUGACAAGUGUGUAUGUUGGCAAGGAAUUAAAAAUGGUGGUGCCUCUGAAGUUUAGCAGGAGGUUUCCUGCUUGGGGAUGGCAGGCAGUUGUAGCUGUUACAAAUUCCAUUCCCUUGUCUGCAUUGCAGCUCAUUUCUGAAACAAAGCAAGCUUGGGAACAUGUUCCACUUUGUAAUAGGAACUGCUACAUUUGGUUUUCUUUGAGUCUUCUCUGACACUGGAGUCUUCAUGUGCCCACUUCUCUUUUUUUUCUUUUUGUUUUGUUAAUAAAUCAAAUCUGACUACAAUAUCUGUCUGCCUCUAAACCACAGUAAGGGCUGCUUGAAAACGCAUGAGCCUCCCAAAUUUUUUACCCUCAAGAGGAAAUAAGUGAUUUUUUUGUUUGUCUUUGAUCCAGUCUCAUCAAUGCAAUUUUCCUUCUUCAAACAAUUGAGCCUGCAGUUCAUUAUAGUGCAGGACCGGAACCCUUCUAUUACCUUAUUUUUAGCAACAAUUAAAUCGAGCCUUAAAAUUGAAUUUGCAAAAAGAAAGGCCUGUGCCAGUCCCAGAUCUUCGAACUCAGCUCUUAAAAUUUGAAUCUCAGCACUUUGCUCUCCUGGACAUCUCAUUUGGUAGUGUGGCUUGGUGGUAUUUGUGGCCAAAUGAAGUGUACGGUGACCCCGCAGAACAAUUUAAAUUCUGACAUCCUCAUUUUCAGAGUUUCCACUUGCUCUGAUAAAGCACUUGAAGGAGUUUUUACUCCUUUGAAGUGUAGCCCUGUUGUGCUUGUGACCAUGACCUGUGCCUCUGUGGGUGUGGCAGCCCACUGGACCUGCCUGGAUGUGCUGCCUGUCCUGGGAUUCCUUUCUGGCCUCCUCCAGCCCCGAGCUGAGGGUGCAGAGUCAGAGAGCACCAGGAUGCCCCAGGCAGGUGCAUCUGUGCUGGAGACUCUGUGAAGCUUCUCAGCCUGGGACAGUGAGGAGCUCCCACCUUCCAAGCCCCCUCCCAGCAUCAAGGACACAGGGUGCUCUUGAGCAUCUUCCCAGAGCACAGCCUCUGACUAUUUACCAGAGCUUAUGUACGUGAUUAAAACGUAACUUCCCUUCAGCUUAUGGAGCUUAGAAGCUCUUAAAGGCAUGAAUUAAUGGAGAGACAGGUUGUGUCUGCUGUGGAGUCAAGGAGCUGUGCUGCAGAAGAGAGAAGUUGUUCUGCCAGGUGAUUUCUUGGGGUCAAGCAUUGCCUCCAGAAUUUUUCAAGCAAGAUGUUUAUCUGCAGUUGGGACUGACUGACACCAUCUUCGUAGAACGCUUGCCAUUGGAGAUUGUCGUAGUUUUCCUAAAGAUGGCUGUUAGAAGUCUAGGAAAAGAAAUUUGCUACUUGGGCAGGACGGAGGUGAGGAGAUUUGGAAGUGUCUGCCAAACAUGUGAGAGCAAACUCCUGUCCCAGUGACUUUGGGAGCCCAACUGGAACUUAGAAAGAGGAGCAUAGUCUGAAACACUGGAAUAUUUUACUGUUGUUGUACCCGACUGAGAUAUCCACAUUUCAUGGGUAGUAAAGCUCUCUGAAUAAUGGAAUUUGCUGCAAAAUGUGGAGCCCUCAUGUUAUUUACCUAGCAUGGUAUGCAUAGAAGCGUGGCUAGCAUCAGGCAGGCUGAGAGAUCCACAAAGAGAAAAAAAUCUGAUUAAUGGCACCUAGGAGAGGGCAGAGUAACCCCCUGCAAGGAACCAGACCCCUCAGAAUGCAAAACUGCCGGACCAAGAUUUCAAGCCCAUGUGGAGGUGCUGUGUCUGUGUAUGAGCCUGACAAAGGGGAUAAAAAUGACAAGAUGAAGGUAGAGCUUUCUUACACUUUCACCAGACAAAAUGAAAGAGUGAAAUAAAACUGCCAGGAAUUGAAUACACAAACCCCAGAACAGCUGGGAAAAAUAUUUGAGGAAAAUAUACAGGAGAUAGCAGAGGGAUACUUUUCUCUAAAUCCCAAAAGCAAGAAGCAGAGAAGAGCAUAGAUGCUUGCAUUGUGUGGUGGAAAAUUCUGGCACGCACAUGUACAUUAGAGACAUAAAAGAUCCCCUAAUUAGAGACAGGAUCAUUUGUGGGACAUGUGAUUCCAGUUUACAGGAGAAUUGCUGAGAAAAAACCAUCUAACCCUAAAGGAAUGAAUCAAAGAAUAAGAGCUGCUGAACUAUCCAGGAAAAGGAACAAAACAACAGCCACUUUUGCAGGACACAGCAGAGACCAGGAGAGAGGGAAGAGGGGGAUGAACCUGUGAGCAAUGCACAAAAGUGAAGUAGGAUUUGGGACUGGUGGGAUGGGAGCCACAAGGAUUUAUUUAGCUCAGCAGUGGGCAGUGGUGCUGUACCUGGCUGAGCAGACUCCCCUCCUCAGCAGAGAGGCAAAAGGAAACGACAGGGCAAUGAGGUGGAUGAAGCAACAGGCUGUUCUGGAGCUCAGCGUGUCUGAAGGAAAAUGGAAUCAAAGAGCCAGCCUUUAGGGGUCCCUGGGUCAGCAAUCUCUAGUUAGCCACCAAAUGUUUGCAUGGAAAGCACAACUGUCAAAAGGAAAGUUGGGGGGAUCCAUUUGCAUUUCCGAGAGAGGAGGAGGAGGAAGAUAAGGUUUGAAAGAGGCACCAGGAAGUCAAUCUGUCUGAGCGUGACCUGAAUGUUACCUCGGUUUUUUGUGUUUCUCUAUGCCGUUCUCUAAAGAAAAGCCAAUUAUAUUUCAGAAGAAUAGGGGCCUCUCAUGUUGUUAUUCAUCAUGUGGCACAUGAAACACCAACACUAACUCCGAAACUGUGAGUUAACCUUGUCCUUUCAUCACGUAUGGUCAUCUCAUCACCAGGCUGGUGACUGCUCAAAGCUGCCUGAAAGUGGUUGAGCCCCAGACAACUAAACUUUUAUACAUCAGUACAAAAGCAGCAAAGAAGAUGAGAAGGAAAACUGAUUGUCCCCAGGGACGCAGCAUAGUGGUUUGGGUAGUCCUGCUUAGAAAGUCACUUGUGGCUUUUAUAAUGAGGAACUUAAGGUUUGAAUUUUCAGACUUAUUAGCUGUACAUUUGUUUGUUUUUUAUUAACUUAAUAUACUACGUGCCACAUUUUCCUUGGGGUAUUGAGUCAAGUGAUGGAUUCAUCCAGUUUAGCUCUAAAUGCAUGGGCUCUCUUUUUCAUAAAACUUGGAAAAGAUUUGGGUCUCAUAUUUCCUGAAGGAUUUUAUUUUAUGCCUGUAUAUUUUGGUACAGCAGCUAAUGUUUUCUGUCCUGGUUCUUUUCUGACAAUAUGUGCUUCUGGCUAAUUUAGAGUGGGAAUGUAGUUUUUGUUUGUUCUCUUUCUUGACCCAUGAGAAUUAGAGUUGUCUUAUAUGAGCAGGUAGAGUUAAACCACUUUAGUCUACUAAAGAGUCACUGGAAGUUUCCAAUGCCCUCGCUCUCUGCUUCAAUGGAAAGAAAAACGGGUUUUAAAAAGUCUGAGAAAGAUAUGGUUAUUAAGCUAAUCCAGUAUACUUCAUCUAGCUGCUAAAAAUCUUGACUCUUAACAGUGAUUAAAUAUAAUUGCAUCAGUAAAGGUGGUGUAAAAAAACCCCUGGCUUUCAUUAGAAGCUAUCUUUAGGAAACCAUGGUUCCUUGACUUAAAAAGUUACAUGUAACAUCGCUGUUUUAUUUUGGGAGCAUUUUGAAGGUUUCUUAAACAGAGGGUUAUGCAGAAAAAAUAAAUAAACCCCUGCAGAACAAAUACACAAGUCUGAAGUAUUCUUCCGUAUUUCAAUAUAUAUCUGCAGUGCAUGUGAUUUAUUAAAAAGCAAAAUUGAUCAUAAAACUGAAAAUUUAGUGGAUAAAUGUUGAACCAUUUUAAAGAUCUGAUCAAAUAGUAAAGAUAUUCCAAAGGAAAAAAAACAAAUUAGCAAACCACCACAUAUGUGUGGGAUAAAAUUGUUAUAGGAUGGAAUGGCAGGACUCCUAGUAAUUUUAAUUAAAUUAUAUUCUUUUUUUUUUUUACUACUCUUCAGUUUGGAAGGGAGUCUGUCACUAUUUUAAGAGCUGAAAAAGAAUGUUGCUAAACUUUUUCUCUUAUUUUCAUAAAUUUAAAAUUUGAGCUGUGUCAGAGCCUUAACACUGCACAAUCUUCAUAGAGAAUUUAAAAUUCCUCCAAUUUAUGUGAUCUGAAAAAGCUCUUCCUAGACAGUCAGAUGUUAAAAAAUUCAGCAGUUUUGCUAUAAUUCAGAACACCACAUGCUGCUCUGUAUCCUUGGGCUGAACUGGAUAUUUGCACUUCUGUGUUUGUUUUGUAGAUUAUGAAAAAUUGUGUAAACUGAAAGGGGACUGUAAAACCUCCUACCCUGAAAUACUGAAAAAUAUAAAAUAAUCUAGUUCUUA